UACGUAGGGGGCAAGCGUUGUCCGGAUUUAUUGGGCGUAAAGAGCGUGUAGGCGGUCAGGUAGGUCCGUUGUGAAAACUCGAGGCUCAACCUCGAGACGCCGAUGGAAACCAUCUGACUAGAGUCCGGAAGAGGAGAGUGGAAUUCCUGGUGUAGCGGUGAAAUGCGCAGAUAUCAGGAAGAACACCCGUGGCUAGGGCGGCUCUCUAGUACGGUACUGACGCUGAGACGCGAAAGCGUGGGGAGCGAACAGG
rnacentral:rRNA from 1 species